UUUCCACACUUUGGGGUCAUGGGUUAUGGCCCACAUGUUCACCAUGGCGGUUGUGUUGGCGGGAACCAGCAUCCCGUUGCUGAGCUGGACGUCCGACGUGGACAGCCUAGCCCAAGAAAGCAAUGGCCCUGGGGGAUGGAUCCGUAGGGUUUCUUUGACCACCGCCUGAAGGUAAGGUAAUUUCGCCACGUCAGCGUCGGUGAGGGUUUUGUUCCUCGUAGCACUGUCAAUUUCAAGUUGCAGCUUGGCUUGUACUUCCGGGUGCAAUACCAACUCAGCCAUGACCCACUCCGUUAACAAAGCAGUCGUAUCAGUUCCUCUGAAU
rnacentral:lncRNA from 1 species